rnacentral:rRNA from 1 species
AUUGAACGCUGGCGGCAGGCUUAACACAUGCAAGUCGAGCGAGCGGCGGACGGGUGAGUUAUGACUGGGAAACUGCCUGAUGGAGGGGGAUAACUACUGGAAACGGUAGCUAAUACCGCAUACCAUCAGAUGUGCCCAGAUGGGAUUAGCUAGUAGGUGGGGUAAUGGAGCACCGAGGCGACGAGCCCUAGCUGGUCUGAGGGGAUGACAAGCCACAGUGGAACUGAGACACGGUCCAGACUCCGACGGGAGGCAGCAGUGGGGAAUAUUGGACAAUGGGCGAAAGCCGGAUGCAGCCAUGCCGCGUGUGUGAAGAAGGCCUUCGGGUUGUAAAGCACUUUCAGCGAGGAGGCGUUACUCGCAGAAGAAGCACCGGCUAACUCCGUGCCAGCCGCCGCGGUAAUAC